UAGAGUUUGAUCAUGGCUCAGAUUGAACGCUGGCGGCAUGCCUUACACAUGCAAGUCGAACGGUAACAGGUCUUCGGAUGCUGACGAGUGGCGAACGGGUGAGUAAUACAUCGGAACGUGCCUAGUAGUGGGGGAUAACUACUCGAAAGAGUAGCUAAUACCGCAUGAGAUCUACGGAUGAAAGCAGGGGAUCGCAAGACCUUGUGCUACUAGAGCGGCUGAUGGCAGAUUAGGUAGUUGGUGGGAUAAAAGCUUACCAAGUCGGCGAUCUGUAGCUGGUCUGAGAGGACGAUCAGCCACACUGGGACUGAGACACGGCCCAGACUCCUACGGGAGGCAGCAGUGGGGAAUUUUGGACAAUGGGCGAAAGCCUGAUCCAGCAAUGCCGCGUGCAGGAUGAAGGCCUUCGGGUUGUAAACUGCUUUUGUACGGAACGAAAAGCUUUGGGUUAAUACCCUGGAGUCAUGACGGUACCGUAAGAAUAAGCACCGGCUAACUACGUGCCAGCAGCCGCGGUAAU
rnacentral:rRNA from 1 species